UGACAGCCCCGUACACAAAAAUGCACAUGCUGUGAGCUCGAUGAGUAGGGCGGGACACGUGGUAUCCUGUCUGAAUAUGGGGGGACCAUCCUCCAAGGCUAAAUACUCCUGACUGACCGAUAGUGAACCAGUACCGUGAGGGAAAGGCGAAAAGAACCCCGGCGAGGGGAGUGAAAAAGAACCUGAAACCGUGUACGUACAAGCAGUGGGAGCACGCUUAGGCGUGUGACUGCGUACCUUUUGUAUAAUGGGUCAGCGACUUAUAUUCUGUAGCAAGGUUAACCGAAUAGGGGAGCCGAAGGGAAACCGAGUCUUAACUGGGCGUUAAGUUGCAGGGUAUAGACCCGAAACCCGGUGAUCUAGCCAUGGGCAGGUUGAAGGUUGGGUAACACUAACUGGAGGACCGAACCGACUAAUGUUGAAAAAUUAGCGGAUGACUUGUGGCUGGGGGUGAAAGGCCAAUCAAACCGGGAGAUAGCUGGUUCUCCCCGAAAGCUAUUUAGGUAGCGCCUCGUGAAUUCAUCUCCGGGGGUAGAGCACUGUUUCGGCAAGGGGGUCAUCCCGACUUACCAACCCGAUGCAAACUGCGAAUACCGGAGAAUGUUAUCACGGGAGACACACGGCGGGUGCUAACGUCCGUCGUGAAGAGGGAAACAACCCAGACCGCCAGCUAAGGUCCCAAAGUCAUGGUUAAGUGGGAAACGAUGUGGGAAGGCCCAGACAGCCAGGAUGUUGGCUUAGAAGCAGCCAUCAUUUAAAGAAAGCGUAAUAGCUCACUGGUCGAGUCGGCCUGCGCGGAAGAUGUAACGGGGCUAAACCAUGCACCGAAGCUGCGGCAGCGACGCUGAUGCGUUGUUGGGUAGGGGAGCGUUCUGUAAGCCUG
rnacentral:rRNA from 1 species